rnacentral:rRNA from 1 species
UACGUAGGGUGCAAGCGUUAAUCGGAAUUACUGGGCGUAAAGCGUGCGCAGGCGGUUGUGCAAGACAGAUGUGAAAUCCCCGGGCUCAACCUGGGAAUUGCAUUUGUGACUGCACGGCUAGAGUGUGUCAGAGGGGGGUAGAAUUCCACGUGUAGCAGUGAAAUGCGUAGAGAUGUGGAGGAAUACCGAUGGCGAAGGCAGCCCCCUGGGUUAACACUGACGCUCAUGCACGAAAGCGUGGGGAGCAAACAGG